rnacentral:rRNA from 1 species
UGGGGAAUAUUGCACAAUGGGCGCAAGCCUGAUGCAGCGACGCCGCGUGGGGGAUGACGGCCUUCGGGUUGUAAACUCCUUUCGCCAGGGACGAAGCGUUUUGUGACGGUACCUGGAGAAGAGGCACCGGCUAACUACGUGCCAGCAGCCGCGGUAAUACGCAGGGUGCAAGCGUUGUCCGGAAUUACUGGGCGUAAAGAGCUCGUAGGUGGUUUGUCACGUCGUCUGUGAAAUUCCACAGCUUAACUGUGGGCGUGCAGGCGAUACGGGCUGACUUGAGUACUGUAGGGGUAACUGGAAUUCCUGGUGUAGCGGUGAAAUGCGCAGAUAUCAGGAGGAACACCGAUGGCGAAGGCAGGUUACUGGGCAGUUACUGACGCUGAGGAGCGAAAGCAUGGGUAGCAAACAGGAUUAGAUACCCUGGUAGUCCAUGCCGUAAACGGUGGGCGCUAGGUGUAGGGACCUUUUGGGGUUUCUGUGCCGUAGCUAACGCAUUAAGCGCCCCGCCUGGGGAGUACGGCCGCAAGGCUA